AUCACCAUUAUUUUAUAAGAAACUAUGGUUAGUUGUUACAUACAGUUCAUUGUGGAAUUCGUAAUGUUUAACUGCAUAACCGUAACCACUUAUUUUAAAUAUAAUGGUGCAAAAAGAUAUUGUCUAUUGUCUAUAAUUAUUUCAUAUAAUGAUCCAAAGAGACAGCACUUCACACUGUUAUUUUUUCUUUAAGUACAAUUAAACAAAAAAGCUUUUCUAUUGGUUUGGUUCGCGACUAGCAACUGAUUCGUUGUUCCACUAUAAUGAAGUGACAUAGGAUUAUCAAGACCAUCACUUACGGUCAAUAUUUCUCUAUGUC
rnacentral:lncRNA from 1 species